AGAGUGGUGGCCGAGCGGUCGAAGGCGCACGCCUGGAAAGCGUGUAUACCUCAAAAGGGUAUCGAGGGUUCGAAUCCCUUCCUCUCUGCAA
rnacentral:tRNA from 1 species